GUUCCAUUUCUCUUUCAGCAUCGCUGUGACUAUCAAGCAGAUCACAUAUGUUCACCGCUGUUCACGUGUAAGCUACCUGCCGUCUUCGGUAAUCAUUUCCAGAGUCAUCUGAUCCAAGCCUCUGUCACCACCUUCUCCCUGAUGCGCUGCCAGACCCACUUUUCCAGUCCUUGAAAUAUUCAAAGGGGAUCACAGUACUACACUGUGAGGGAGUCCUGGAAGAGCACCAGGAAGCCUCAGAUAUUCAGAGUGGCCACAAGCAUCCACUUAGGACAGGACAUUAGAGAAGCAGGCUUCUUCACCUAUGCCUGAGCUGGCUACUUCCCAGGUGAAGAUGUAGAACUCAGCUCCUCCUGCACCAUGCCUGCCUGGAUACUGUGAUGCUGCCAUGCUCCUCCCUUAAUGAUAAUGGACUGAACCUCUGAUCCUACCUGGAAACCUGUCUCAGCUUCCUGCCACCAUGCCUUCCCCACCAUUCAAAUAGAGACCUGAAAUUGACCCACCCAAAGUUGAGUUCAACAGGUGUUUGAUCACAGCAAUGAGUUGCAGGACCAGCGAGGUGGAAGAAGCUGAGGUGUAAAGUAAGCUGUUAGUGGGAUCAGCAGUCCCAACUCUCCCGGACCCCUGAGAUCUCCCAGACACUGGGGCACCAACCAGAGAAAUUUCUUCUUGUAAUAGAUGGUGAUUAAGACAAAGAUCUACAACUGCUUACAAUGCAUAAAACAAGAGACUUUUGAGUUCUUGGUCCUAAAUAGGACAUCCAUAUUACACCUCCUCCUUCCAAGAAUCAAGAAUCAUCUUAGAAGAGGAAAUAGAAUGAUUAUAAGAGCCAGAGGUGGUGGGUGACUACAAGGAAACUCUGUCUAGGACAUAGCAAUGCUACUGGGAAAAAGUCAAUUUUCUUCAACAACGUCAUGCCUGGUAAGUCAACCAUACACUAGGAAACAAGUUCUAUAUCCAAGAAUAUUUGAACAGCACAAAUAUCAAUAGGUCAGUUAAAAAAUGUGCAAGAUGUUAGUGAAUAGACAAGUGGAGGUGAACCUAGGAGGAGUUGGGGGAAGAGAGUGAAUGUGACUAAAAUAUGCCAUAUGAAAUUUCACUGGAAAAAUAUUACUUUGAAUUUUUAUUACAUUUGAUGUGUGUGUGUCUCUGUGUGUGUGUGUGUGUGUGUGUGUGUGUGUGUGUGUGUGUGUAGACAUGAAAAAGUAAAGAUAUAUCUGAGGACUUCAAGGACAACUUUAGGAUUUAAUUUUCUUCUUCUAUCACAUUCCUUCACAAUGGUGCUAAGAAGGGAGGCUUCUUAGCAAGCAAUUCUACCAUCUCACCAGCCUAUGUUGGUUUUGUAUUGACUCAGCAAACAAAAUGGUUUGAGAGUUCUAAAUUUAUAUUAUAAGUAUCAUCAUGGAUAAACAGAUAUAUAGAUAUCACUGAACUAAAAGGGAAAUAGAGAUUCUUUCUUCCAUCACUAAUCCACAUAGGACUGAGAAUGAUUCAAUGGUUGAAUUGAGUCCACAAGGCCCCCAUUUUGAUAUCCUGUAAACUGUCCUCAACUUGACACCUAGACAAGAAUCCUAUGUAGCUUUGAAUAUAUAUGGGACUAAAGACAACAAUCCAAGUUAACUAGCUCAGAAGCAAUCCCAGGGAGCAGAACUGUGGAAAACUGGAAAGACUAUAAUCUGCCAAGAAGAAUCAAUGGUCACCCCCAUGAUGGUCUAUAGUGACCAUUUAUGAACUAUGAUGUCUUAUGCUUUAGCAAGGAAUUAAAUAUUGAUCUGAAAUUUUAUGUGAAAUAUUCAAACUUGUAAAUUUGUUUAAGAAAUUAAACACUCUACAUUUCAAACAUAAACAUAGUUGUAUGUGAUCUGAGAGCCACAAUUUCUAAUCUCAAGACUCUUAACAACUGCUGUCUGUUGUCUACAAACUAUUGUGCACAUCUAGGAAUACAACUUACCCUGUGAGUAACAAAUGACAAGAACCUACCAGGUACUCCUAUCUUUGAAGUGACUGUAACUAAAAGAGAUAUCCUGGGAUCCAAGCCAGUAGGGAACUUGAGCUAAGAAGAGUCUCUGGAAGCCAGUGCUCUAAGUAGCCUUCUUAGGGAAAGGAUAAGUGAUCACUGAUGCCAGGGAAGACAACGUGCUAUUAGUAGUCACAGAUGGUUAGAAGGGUUAAGAAAAGAUAUUAUAGUCUAAGACUGGGGAUAGGCCAUCCAGUACCCUCUUGUGAAUGAUCCAUUUUCCAAAAUAAAGCAGAUAGUAUAAGGUUACUUGGAUUUAUAAAGAAGCCUUAACUAAUAACUAGACUUUCAGUUUGAGAGGGUUAGCCAAAGAGAAGGGGGGGUGAUAUGUAUUUAAUGUUUGUUUGUUUGUUUCUUUGUUUGUUUGUUUGUUUGUUUUUUCAAGCAGCACUUCAGAACAGUCCCACAACAUGCCUCUCUAGCCCUCAAAAAGCAAGGAAUCGCCAACAUUCAUAGAUUGGAACAAGAUUUAAGAAAUGUAACCCUCAGGUACUUAGCUCAAGACACUUGUAAGAGAUGUGUAGGUUUCAGCUGAGUCCAUCAUUGUAGAUCAAGGAAUACAUAACAUUACAUACCUUAUGUAUGUGAUGUCAGAAAACACAAUGAAAAUAAAGAUUCACCAAUUGAAUGCUAUAUGUUUCAUAUUCCCCCAAAUGUCAUUGUUUCCAUUCCCCUAAAUGCACAUUCAGUGUGGAUGAGAAUUAACUGCUAAUUGUCUCAUAACGUUAUAAAACUGACAGUAAUGUUUUAUUAACAUUGCUAUUGGAUAAUGAAAGAGCUAUGUAUGUCCUCUUAUCAUGGAGAACCAUAUGAUCAGUGCAAUGAAGCUCUUACAAUCAGCUCUCAAAGAUUUUUAAGUACUACUAGAGAACCCUCAGUUGUAAAACACUUACUUUGUUCAUAUAUGAUUUUAAGAUUCAGGUUUCAUGACCUUGUAAUUCAUACUGUAUGCUAUGAAUGAGAGGCAUCAAUUCUUGUCUUGACCACAGAUGACUUUACUAGAAUCUACUCAUUCCUAAAACCAUCAAAAUAUACAUUUGUUUUUCACUGAAAUUGAUUUUAUGACAACCAGGUACUGGAGCUUUCGGAAUAAAAGGUUAAUACCAUUUUGACACUCUUCUUGAGUACUGACAAGUAUCAAAGCACAUUUUAGCAUUUUUUUCCAACCAUGGAAUACUACCACUUAUCACCAUGCAAAACAAGGCCAAGGCACAGGCAACUGGGGAAGGAACCUUAUGGUUACAAGGAAAACUACUGACACUGAUAUAACUUGAUCACCAAUCUUAAGGGUGGGGCCUCUGAGUUUUCAUUAAAUGUAAUUUAAAAAUUUUCUCUCCAUUUAGAAAAAACAUCCUGUUAAGUACAAGGAAAUGUCUACAAAAAUUUUGCUCUAUCUCAUGUCUAAAUCAACACAAUUAUAAGCCAUUUUUGUGGCUCCCUUCUAGAAAAGCAAUCCAUAUAAGAAAGAGCAAUAGAGAUGAGAUAUAAAAGUAUAUUCACUUGAAUUAUUUAUUUCAUGGGAUGACUUAAAAGAAACACACUUGAGUAUCUGAUAAAUCUCUAUGUUAAUAUCUAUGUGCAUGUUUAUUCUUGGAUUUCCAAAGGUCUACUCUGAUAUCCAUUAGGCUUUCUAUAAAAGCUAUUAUUAACCAUUUUAUUUUUUUCUCCAGAAAAAAAAGAUACAAAUGCAGUCUACAAUCUCCAGAGAUGAGUUUGAUCAUGUUCAGAUGAUCAGAUGCGAGCCCUAUUGUAUUCUGACAGCCUGUCUCAUCAUUGUGCCAUCUCUAAAUGCCUCUGACGAAGAAAAAAAGAAAGGAAGGAAAGAUGAUAGAUAAUAGAGAUAGACAGAUAGAUAGGAAAAUAUAGAAAGACAGAAAAAUGUAACUCCUUAUACUGCAGAGCUAAUUUGCUUCUGUGUUUUAGUCUGAGUUCGAAUUUCAAAAUUCUCAUUAAAAAACUUCAGACAUUUGGUUUGGGGUGGGAGAAGAAACCUAAUGCGUCUGCUGGCACCACUCCAGCCUCUGGAUCAUUGGUCUACAUUCCUGGAGCAUCUCCAUCAGCUAAAGGUAAAAAAGCUAAAACACAGCUUAAAUCUAAGAAGGAGAUCAGAGAGGAAGAAAACCAUUGGACAUGCAAAAUAACAGAGGAACUUUAAUCAGGAUCACCACUUAUCAAUUAGUAUUACAUGUUCCCAUGUGUAGAUCUCAAAGGAAUUUAGAUAUCCUAAAGAAAAAUCAGACAAGAAUAUUUUAAAAGGUAGAGUCUCACCUUGGUCAAUAAUAAAAAAAGUACUGUAACC